rnacentral:rRNA from 1 species
CCUACGGGCGGCUGCAGUGGGGAAUAUUGCACAAUGGGCGCAAGCCUGAUGCAGCCAUGCCGCGUGUGUGAAGAAGGCCUUCGGGUUGUAAAGCACUUUCAGCGGGGAGGAAGGCGUUAAGGUUAAUAACCUUGUCGAUUGACGUUACCCGCAGAAGAAGCACCGGCUAACUCCGUGCCAGCAGCCGCGGUAAUACGGAGGGUGCAAGCGUUAAUCGGAAUUACUGGGCGUAAAGCGCACGCAGGCGGUCUGUCAAGUCGGAUGUGGAAUCCCCGGGCUCAACCUGGGAACUGCAUUCGAAACUGGCAGGCUAGAGUCUUGUAGAGGGGGGUAGAAUUCCAGGUGUAGCGGUGAAAUGCGUAGAGAUCCGGAGGAAUACCGGUGGCGAAGGCGGCCCCCUGGACAAAGACUGACGCUCAGGUGCGAAAGCGUGGGGAGCAAACAGGAUUAGAUACCCCAGUAGUC